rnacentral:SRP_RNA from 1 species
UGCGCAGGUAGGACCAGGGGGCUCGCCCUCCCCUAUACCCGAAAUGGGCGUAUGCGGGGGUCAGUAACCCUACUAGUGGAUGUAUAGAGCCUGCAGAAAGGGCUGGGCACCACUAUGAGCUUCGCCUCGUGGGGCUGGUGAUGGUAGGGUCACCUCUGGAGGGAGGUGGCUACUAGCUUUACGGGGGGAAAGCGGCCAGGCCCGGAAGGGAGCAACCUAACCCCCGGCACCAGCGUUCACGAGUCAACGAAGUGAGGGUUGGUGUCCAGUUCCACUGCUAGGCUCUAUACAUUCACUAGUAUGGGGGCUGCGCA